UUUCUCUUUUAGAUCUAAUCACCAUCAGAUUUUGGGCAUGGAGAUGUAAGGAAGAAAGGAGGAAGAAAGGAGGAAGACGUUGGGAAGAAGUUACGGUGUCCUAAAGAAGCCGUCCCCUUCUUCAUGCCAAAAAAAACUCAUGCCACUCCUUUAUUUUUGUCACACACCUACUUGUAAUCUCACACCCAACCUCUUUAUAACAUCCUAAUAGAUCAAAUCUCAUUUG
rnacentral:lncRNA from 1 species